AGGUACGAUCAUACCAUCACUAAUGCACCGUACCACACCAGAACUCCCCAAUUAAGCGUGCUUGGGAGAGAAUAGUACUAGGAUGGGUGACAUUCUAGAAAGUCCUCGUGUUGCACCUC
rfam:Lupinus angustifolius cultivar Tanjil contig_23421, whole genome shotgun sequence.